rnacentral:rRNA from 1 species
GAUGAACGCUGGCGGCGUGCCUAAUACAUGCAAGUCGAGCGAACAGACGAGGAGCUUGCUCCUUUGACGUUAGCGGCGGACGGGUGAGUAACACGUGGGUAACCUACCUAUAAGACUGGGAUAACUUCGGGAAACCGGAGCUAAUACCGGAUAAUAUUUCGAACCGCAUGGUUCGAUAGUGAAAGAUGGCUUUGCUAUCACUUAUAGAUGGACCUGCGCCGUAUUAGCUAGUUGGUAAGGUAACGGCUUACCAAGGCAACGAUACGUAGCAGACCUGAGAGGGUGAUCGGCCACACUGGACCUGAGACACGGUCCAGACUCCUACGGGAGGCAGCAGUAGGGAAUCGUCCGCAAUGGGCGAAAGCCUGACGGAGCAACGCCGCGUGCGUGAUGAAGGUCUUCGGAUCGUAAAACUCUGUUAUUAGGGAAGAACAAACGUGUAAGUAACUGUGCACGUCUUGACGGUACCUAAUCAGAAAGCCACGGCUAACUACGUG